AGUCUUAUAUUCAACAAUGAUUUUAAAUUGCAAAUUUAAAGGAGGGACUAUCCCUAAGGCUU
rnacentral:tRNA from 1 species